rnacentral:snRNA from 1 species
GUGCUGGCUUCAGCAGCCCAUACGCUAAAAUCUGAAUAAUGCAGAGAUGAACACUGCCCCUACACAAGGAUAAGCAUGCAAAUUUAUAAAGUGUUUCAUAUUAAA